CUCCUACGGGAGGCAGCAGUGGGGAAUCUUGCGCAAUGGGCGAAAGCCUGACGCAGCAACGCCGCGUGAGCGAAGAAGGCCUUCGGGUUGUAAAGCUCUGUCAGGGGGAAAGAAGGCACCUGGGUUAAUAGCCCAAGGGUUGACGGUACCCCCAAAGGAAGCCACGGCUAACUACGUGCCAGCAGCCGCGGUAAUACGUAGGUGGCGAGCGUUGUCCGGAAUCAUUGGGCGUAAAGAGCGCGUAGGUGGCUUGUCAGGUCUGAUGUGAAAUCCUGGGGCUCAACCCCAGACCUGCAUCGGAAACCGGCUUGCUAGAGUCUGGGAGAGGAGAGUGGAAUUCCUGGUGUAGCGGUGAAAUGCGUAGAUAUCAGGAGGAACACCGGUAGCGAAGGCGGCUCUCUGGAACAGUACUGACACUGAGGCGCGAAAGCUAGGGGAGCAAACAGGAUUAGAUACCCUGGUAGUCCUAGCCGUAAACGAUGGACACUAGGUGUCGGGGGUGUCGACUCCCCCGGUGCCGAAGCUAACGCAUUAAGUGUCCCGCCUGGGGAGUACGGCCGCAAGGCUAAAACUCAAAGGAAUUGACGG
rnacentral:rRNA from 1 species